rnacentral:rRNA from 1 species
GAGUUGUAAUCUGGAGAAGCGUUUUCCGUGUCGGACCGUGCACAAGUCUCUUGGAACAGAGCGUCAUAGAGGGUGAGAAUCCCGUUUUAUGGCACGGACACCCGAUACUUUGUGAUACGUUUUCUAAGAGUCGAGUUGUUUGGGAAUGCAGCUCAAAAUGGGUGGUAAAUUCCAUCUAAAGCUAAAUAUAGGCGAGAGACCGAUAGCGAACAAGUACCGUGAGGGAAAGAUGAAAAGCACUUUGGAAAGAGAGUUAAACAGUACGUGAAAUUGUUGAAAGGGAAACGCUUGAAGUCAGUCGCGUCUUCUAGGACUCAGCCUUACUUCGGUUAGGUGUACUUCCUGGUUUGACGGGUCAACAUCGAUUUUGAUCGACGGAUAAAGGAGAAGGGAAUGUGGCACCUUCGGGUGUGUUAUAGCCCUCUUCGUAUACGUCGAUUGGGAUCGAGGACUGCAGCACGCCCUUGUGGCCGGGGGUUCGCCCUACGUAUCGUGCUUAGGAUGUUGACAUAAUGGCUUUAAGCGACCCGUCUUGAAACACGGACCAAGGAGUCUAACAUGCUCGCGAGUGUUAGGGUGGAAAACCCUUGCGCGUAAUGAAAGUGAAAGUUGGGACCUCUGCAAGGAGGGCACCGACGCCCGGCCCUGAAGUUCUCUGACGGUGCUGCGGUAGAGCGCGUAUGUUGGGACCCGAAAGAUGGUGAACUAUGCCUGAAUAGGGCGAAGCCAGAGGAAACUC